rnacentral:lncRNA from 1 species
CUCGCCAUGCUCAGAUGCUUGGGAUCUCGAAGCUGAGUUGCUGCUAGCAAAUUAAAAUGUAUCUGUCUUCCUCUGACCCUAUGUCAAGUCCAUACAGAAUUUUGACCUGAGGAGAAAUACUGUCAUUCCAUUUAUCUAUCUUGACACACUUAAGGUGUGUGGAAGAUUUUCUGGAUGUUUUAGAUCUGUUUCAGAAACAUAACUAAGCUGAAAUGCAGAAACAGGAGAAGAUAAAGAUGGAUUUAUGCAAGCCCUGCACAUCCAGGACAGGACCAAGAUGAAUCUCUGUGACCAGACCUGUUCAAUACACCCUUCACCUAGAGAUCUGAGGAAAUCACAUAAUACAUCACCAGCAAAACUGAAGAAAAAAUGAGAAGGAAAUGAAGCAGAAAGAAAACCUUGAGGUCUUCCACUUCUUCAAUUAAAUGUGAUGCAAGGAGGCCUACUUUAGUUAAAUCAACAGAGUUUAAAAUUACCUGUUAUUUUUCUUCAUUCUAUAGUCCAG